GGAUGCGAUCAUACCAGCACUAAAGCACCGGAUCCCAUCAGAACUCCGAAGUUAAGCGUGCUGGGGCGAGAGUAGUACUAGGAUGGGUGACCUCCUGGGAAGUCCUCGUGUUGCAUCCC
rnacentral:rRNA from 1 species